GACGAACGCUGGCGGCGUGCUUAACACAUGCAAGUCGAACGGAAAGGCCUCUUUCGGGGGGUACUCGAGUGGCGAACGGGUGAGUAACACGUGAGUAACCUGCCCUUGACUUUGGGAUAACUUCAGGAAACUGGGGCUAAUACCGGAUAGGAGCUCCUGCUGCAUGGUGGGGGUUGGAAAGUUUCGGCGGUUGGGGAUGGACUCGCGGCUUAUCCGCUUGUUGGUGGGGUAGUGGCUUACCAAGGCUUUGACGGGUAGCCGGCCUGAGAGGGUGACCGGCCACAUUGGGACUGAGGUACGGCCCAGACUCCUACGGGAGGCAGCAGUGGGGAAUAUUGCACAAUGGGUGGAAGCCUGAUGCAGCAACGCCGUGUGCGGGAUGACGGCCUUCGGGUUGUAAACCGCUUUCGCUCAUGACGAAGCUUUGUGUGACGGUAGUGGGUAAAGAAGCACCGGCUAACUACGUG
rnacentral:rRNA from 1 species